rnacentral:tRNA from 1 species
AGCGGGAUGGCGCAGUCUGGUCAGCGCGCGAGCCUCAUAAGCUCGAAGUCGCGGGUUCAAAUCCCGCUCCCGCAA